rnacentral:tRNA from 1 species
GAGGUGAUAGCUCAGUCGGUAGAGCAGGGGAUUGAAAAUCCCCGUGUCCUUGGUUCGAUUCCGAGUCCGGGCACCA